rnacentral:rRNA from 1 species
CCUACGUGAGGCAGCAGUAGGGAAUCUUCCACAAUGGGCGAAAGCCUGAUGGAGCAACGCCGCGUGGGUGAAGAAGGUCUUCGGAUCGUAAAACCCUGUUGUUAGAGAAGAAAGUGCGUGAGAGUAACUGUUCACGUUUCGACGGUAUCUAACCAGACAGCCACGGCUAACUACGUGCCAGCAGCCGCGGUAAUACGUAGGUGGCAAGCGUUAUCCGGAUUUAUUGGGCGUAAAGGGAACGCAGGCGGUCUUUUAAGUCUGAUGUGAAAGCCUUCGGCUUAACCGGAGUAGUGCAUUGGAAACUGGGAGACUUGAGUGCAGAAGAGGAGAGUGGAACUCCAUGUGUAGCGGUGAAAUGCGUAGAUAUAUGGAAGAACACCAGUGGCGAAAGCGGCUCUCUGGUCUGUAACUGACGCUGAGGUUCGAAAGCGUGGGUAGCAAACAGGAUUAGAUACCCUAGUAGUC